CCUACGGGUGGCAGCAGUAGGGAAUAUUGCUCAAUGGGGGAAACCCUGAAGCAGCAACGCCGCGUGGAGGAUGAAGGUUUUCGGAUUGUAAACUCUUUUUGUUAGAGAAGAUAAUGACGGUAUCUAACGAAUAAGCACCGGCUAACUCCGUUCCAGCAGCCGCGGUAAUACGGAGGGUGCAAGCGUUACUCGGAAUCACUGGGCGUAAAGAGAGCGUAGGCGGGAUGGCAAGUCAGAUGUGAAAUGCUAUGGCUUAACCAUAGAAUUGCAUUUGAAACUGUUAGUCUAGAGUAUGGGAGAGGUAGGUGGAAUUCGUGGUGUAGGGGUAAAAUGCGUAGAGAUCAAGAGGAAUACUCAUUGCGAAGGCGACCUGCUAGAACAUAACUGACGCUGAGGCGCGAAAGCGUGGGGAGCAAACAGGAUUAGAUACCCCAGUAGUC
rnacentral:rRNA from 1 species